rnacentral:rRNA from 1 species
AUUGAACGCUGGCGGCAGGCCUAACACAUGCAAGUCGAACGGUAGCACAGAGAGCUUGCUCUCGGGUGGCGAGUGGCGGACGGGAGAGUAACGUCUGGGAAACUGCCCGAUGGAGGGGGAUAACUACUGGAAACGGUAGCUAAUACCGCAUAACGUCGCAAGACCAAAGUGGGGGACCUUAGGGCCUUUCGCUAUAUGGGUAGCCUGCGUACGAUUAGCUAGUUGGUGGGGUAAAGGCCUACCAAGGCGAUGAUCGUUAGCUGGUCUGAGAGGACGGACAGCCACACUGGGAAUGAGACACGGCCCAGAGUCCUACGGGAGGCAGCAGUCGGGAAUAUUGGACAAUGGGGGGAACCCUGAGCCAGCGAUGCCGCGUGUGUGAAGAAGGCCUGCGGGUUGUAAAGCACUUUCGGUUAGGAGGAAGUAUGUUAGGUUAAGAGCUAGGCAUAUUGACGUUACUGACAUAAGAAGCACCGGCUAACUCCGUGCCAGCCGCCGCCGUAA